CAGCAGCCGCGGUAAUACGUAGGUGGCAAGCGUUGUCCGGAAUUAUUGGGCGUAAAGGGCUCGCAGGCGGUUUCUUAAGUCUGAUGUGAAAGCCCCCGGCUCAACCGGGGAGGGUCAUUGGAAACUGGGAAACUUGAGUGCAGAAGAGGAGAGUGGAACUCCACGUGUAGCGGUGAAAUGCGUAGAGAUGUGGAGGAACACCAGUGGCGAAGGCGACUCUCUGGUCUGUAACUGACGCUGAGGUGCGAAAGCGUGGGGAGCGAACAGGAUUAGAUACCCCAGUAGUCCCUGUCUCUUAUAC
rnacentral:rRNA from 1 species